rnacentral:rRNA from 1 species
UACAGAGGGUGCGAGCGUUGUCCGGAAUCACUGGGCGUAAAGGGCGCGUAGGUGGCGCCGCAAGUCCAUGGUGAAAGCUCGAUGCUCAACAUCGAGUCGGCCACGGAGACUGCGGGGCGUCGAGCACUGUAGGGGCAGAUGGAAUUCCGGGUGUAGCGGUGGAAUGCGUAGAGAUCCGGAAGAACACCGGUGGCGAAGGCGGUCUGCUGGGCAGUUGCUGACACUGAGGCGCG